CGGGCUGUAGUAUAGUGGUAGUACACAUGGUUUGGGACCAUGCGGUCUGGGUUCGAUUCCCAGCAGCCCGA
rnacentral:tRNA from 1 species